UACGUAGGGUGCGAGCGUUAAUCGGAAUUACUGGGCGUAAAGCGUGCGCAGGCGGUUCGUUGUGUCGGCGGUGAAAGCCCCGGGCUUAACCUGGGAACGGCCGUUGAGACUGGCGGACUGGAGUGUGGCAGAGGGGGGUGGAAUUCCGCGUGUAGCAGUGAAAUGCGUAGAUAUCAGGAGGAACACCUGUGGUGUAGACGGCUCUCUGGACCGCAACUGACGCUGAGACACGAAAGCGUGGGUAGCAAACAGG
rnacentral:rRNA from 1 species